rnacentral:rRNA from 1 species
GACGAACGCUGGCGGCGUGCUUAACACAUGCAAGUCGAACGGAAAGGCCCUGCUUUUGUGGGGUGCUCGAGUGGCGAACGGGUGAGUAACACGUGAGUAACCUGCCCUUGACUUUGGGAUAACUUCAGGAAACUGGGGCUAAUACCGGAUAGGAGCUCCUGCUGCAUGGUGGGGGUUGGAAAGUUUCGGCGGUUGGGGAUGAACUCGCGGCUUAUCAGCUUGUUGGUGGGGUAGUGGCUUACCAAGGCUUUGACGGGUAGCCGACCUGAGAGGGUGACCGGCCACAUUGGGACUGAGAUACGGCCCAGACUCCUACGGGAGGCAGCAGUGGGGAAUAUUGCACAAUGGGCGGAAGCCUGAUGCAGCAACGCCGCGUGCGGGAUGACGGCCUUCGGGUUGUAAACCGCUUUCGCCUGUGACGAAGCGUGAGUGACGGUAAUGGGUAAAGAAGCACCGGCUAACUACGUG